UCCAUGCUGCCUACGUCUCCUUUCUUCUCUCAGCAACCUAGUCCCCCUGCCGCUCUCUGGAACUCAGCUCUGUCCAGGCGGCCCCCAGCUAAAGACGCUUCUUAGUGGUUGCCAUGCACAGCCCUGACCUCUGACCUCUGCCCUGCUGGUUAUUUGCAUAUGCUCUUGGUGUUCUUCCCAACCUCCUUCACCUGGCCAUCUCCAUCUUUUCCUCCUGAGGUUUCCCCUGAUUCAUCAGAUGAUUUCCAGAAUGAUGAUGCAAUGACUCUCAGCCCUAAACACGUUGGAAUCUCCUGGGGGGCUUUGGAAAAACCCGUGUCCAACCCCACCCUUCACCUGGUAGAUUCAAAUCAAAUCACUGGGCUGGGUCCCUAUAUCCACGGGGCUUCAAGUUCCUCCAGGUGAUUCAAAUAUGCACCCAGGUUUGAUAACCUCCCUUUCUAGAAGCUGCUCUGCCGUGAGCGUGGGGGACGGAUCUGUCUUCCUUGACCUACCCCCUGUCUGUCAGGUGCUGGUGGCUGAUAAAACACUUGCUUAAUGGAUGAUGAGACCCACCCUUGACCCACCACACUCGGAAUGGCCUCAGCUGUCCCAUUCCCCCAGCCCCACCUCUCUACUCACCGCCCAGCCACAGUGCCCUGAAAGGGCCAAGCUUUCCACAAGCCUCCUCCACGUGUGAUUCCCAGAUCCUACCAUCCUUCAGGGCUCUGCUGAAAUGCCCUGUCCUCGGGGAAAUUGUCCGUGAUACCCACUGGCCUCAAUCCCCCUGCCCCCAGCUCCCAUCCCUGCCUUGACAUUUUCCUUGGUACCUCUCAUCACCCAAGUCACCUAUGUCUCUCCUUCCAAGAGGAAGAGUCUUUGCUUUUUGGUACCAAAUCCCCAGGGCCUGGCACAAAACUUGUCACAGAGCUGGAGCCGGCAGAGUAAGUCUGUUGGUUAAGUGGUUUUGGUAUCCAGGUAUUUUUGACCCUUCAGGAGACUUUAUCCUGGGCCCAGAGGACUCGAUGAGGCCCUAAAUUUGAGGGGAUGGUGAGUUGAUGGGAUUCAAACCUUGAUCAGGGAACAAGAUCCCAUGUGCUGCAACUGAAGAUCCUGCAUGCCACAACUAAGACUCAGUGCAACCAAAAAAAAAAAGCAGCAAAACCUGGAUACAUAGAUGAAGAUGGUCACAUGACAACAAAGGGAGAUUGGAGUGAUGUAGCCACAAGCCAAGGAGCACCAGGGACUGCUGGUAACCAUCAGCCAGGAGAGGCAAGGAGUAGACCCUCAGCUGGAGCCUCCAGGGGUGGCACAUUGGUAAAGAACCCACCUACCAAUGAAGGAGGUGCAAGAGACGUGGGGUCAGUCUCUGGGUCGUGAAGAUCUCCUGGCGAACAUGGCAACUCACUCCAGUAUUCUUGCCUGGGAAAUCCCAUGGACAGAAGAGCCUGGAGGGCUACAGUCCAUAGAGUCACAAAGAGCUGGACAUGACUGAACUGAGUGCACAGUGGAGGCUCUAGAAGGAACUAAUCUUGCUGAUACCUUGACCUCAGACUUCUGGCCUCUGGAACUGUGAGAAAAUUAAUUUCUGUUGUUUUAAACCCCUCCACUGGCUUGUGGUAUAUUUUUACAGCCACGCUGGAAAACUAAUUUUAUAGAGGAGACAUUCUGAUUAGGAGCCUUUGGGGAAAGAGGAGUUUUGCCUCCCAAAUCCGGAUUCUGAUUCUGCAAGCACGUACCAGAUUCCAUCUGGUGACUUGACUCCUGAGGCUCCUGAGAACAGCUGGAUCUACCCAUUCCUGAAGGCAUCUGGCCUCCCCUUGUGGGUGUGAGGGCGUCUGCUAACGUCUCACCAUCUGACAUCAUUAAAGGAAAAGCCACCGUCUCAGCAAGGGAAUUCAAUUUUACCUAGCACCUAGGUUAACAAGC